AGGAUGAACGCUGGCGGCGUGCUUAACACAUGCAAGUCGAACGGAGGGUCGUUUUCGGAUGACCUUCAGUGGCGCACGGGUGAGUAACACGUAGCUGACCUGCCCUCGAGAGUGGGAUAACGGGUCGAAAGACCUGCUAAUACCGCAUAAGCUCACGGGUUUUAGAGACCCGAGAGAAAAGGCGAAAGCCGCUUGAGGAGGGGGCUGCGGACCAUCAGCUAGUUGGUGGGUAAUGGCCUACCAAGGCGACGACGGGUAGGGGGCCUGAGGGGGUGGUCCCCACACUGGGACUGAGACACGGCCCAGACUCCUACGGGAGGCAGCAGUGAGGAAUAUUGCGCAAUGGGCAAAGCCUGACGCAGCGACGCCGCGUGGGUGAGGAAGGCCUUCGGGUCGUAAAGCCCUUUUACUGCGUGACGAGAGAGACGGUAGCGCAGGAACAAGUCUCGGCUAACUACGUGCCAGCAGCCGC
rnacentral:rRNA from 1 species